AGCGAACGCUGGCGGCAGGCCUAACACAUGCAAGUCGAACGAACCUUUCGGGGUUAGUGGCUGACGGGUGAGUAACACGUGGGAACGUGCCUUUAGGUUCGGAAUAACUCAGGGAAACUUGUGCUAAUACCGAAUGUGCCCUUCGUGGGAAAGAUUUAUCGCCUUAAGAGCGGCCCGCGUCUGAUUAGAUAGUUGGGGAGGUAAUGGCUCACCAAGGCUACGAUCAGUAGCUGGUCUGAGAGGAUGACCAGCCACAUGGGCACUGAGACACGGCCCAAACCCCUCCGGGAGGCAGCAGUGGGGAAUCUUGCGCAAUGGGCGAAAGCCUGACGCAGCCAUGCCGCGUGGAUGAUGAAGGUCUUAGAAUUGUAAAAUCCUUUCACCGGUGAAGAUAAUGACUGUAGCCGGAGAAGAAGCCCCGGCUAACUUCGUGCCAGCAGCCGCCGUAAGAC
rnacentral:rRNA from 1 species